UACGGGGGGAGCAAGCGUUGUUCGGAUUUACUGGGCGUAAAGGGCGCGUAGGCGGCCACCGCAAGUCAAUUGUGAAAUCUCCGGGCUUAACUCGGAACGGUCAAGUGAUACUGUCGUGCUAGAGUACAGAAGGGGCAACUGGAAUUCUCGGUGUAGCGGUGAAAUGCGUAGAUAUCGAGAGGAACACCUGCGGCGAAGGCGGGUUGCUGGGCUGAUACUGACGCUGAGGCGCGAAAGCUAGGGGAGCGAACGGG
rnacentral:rRNA from 1 species